CACUUCUUCCCAGCAAAAACACAUAGGAAGUGGUGAAGGACGACUGGGAACUGCGCAGGAGUGAGCGGUUUCACUGCUACAUCUUCUAAAGCUGAUUUUCGCCUGAAAUUCAAAUAAUAUUAUAAAUUACAGGUCCCACCAGCCCCUUGAUGAUGGCAGACGCGUUGAGGUGACACCUUCCGUGGAGUACUAUGCCGUUCACCUGGAACAACGUGGUGAUCAGUCAUGGUGGAAGAUCGGCCAAUUCAGAACGAAUUCUACGCGGGCGAAGCCGCGGGCGGAAGUUAGUCUGAAAUACAGGACCCCGAGACUCCAUGCGGCAUCUAACAACCAGACCAACGAGACAACUAAAUAACCGAAUAAACAAAGCCCCCUACUUGAAAAUUCGUAGCAAUACGAAUACGUUGUGAAAUGUAACAUUUGCUAUUACAAAGUGUAAGGCGCUCCCCGUCAGCUAUCGUAUAACUGUUCAGCCAGUUGUUUAUCUAAUUAUACUCCCGUAGUUUUGCCUUUUACCUAGUUUCCGAAAUUGUGUUAUUCAUUUAGUUUUGAGUUAUGUGCGAUAGGGUAAGUUACAUUAGUUGAUAAAUAGAUAACAACAAUUUAUAGAUAGAAACAGGCAGUACCUAAUGUUUUGUAGCAUUUUUUUCUCUGUUUAAGGAAGAUUUACUAUCUUAGCCUGACAGCUUAGUUUGUUAUAGGACCCCAGAAAAGAGCCUUUUUCAAAAUUUCCAAUACGAUUAUAAUUCUCGCCCAACUUAGUGUCGUCUAGCCAUAGCCCUUGCAUUUCUCCUACAACUCAUAAUGGGUACCUAAAAAUGGUUUCCGCUCAGCUACUCAUUCAAUGCUAAGAUUGGCACGAACUAUACCUAUGUGCAUGCAAUUAAGUACCUACCUAUUCCUGUAAGUAUAUUAUGUAGUAGUAAUAUGAGUGUGUAAGUAGUCCUAUUCAACCAGACUACUUCUUACACACUCAUAUUAUGUAAAGCUAAUAUUUAUCCCACAUUCAAAGUCCAGUAAAAAUCUAUUCAUAAAAUAAUUUCCAAUUUUCCGUGCGAAGGUUUUCAAAGAAUAGUUUAUGAAGGUAUGCGCGAUAACCCUUUGGAUAACACUAGUGUGUCGUGAGGUCCUUCCAACUGUGAUAUUGCAGUAACGAAGUGACCCUUAUGUAGGUAGACCAGGUACCUUCAUAUUUUACAUGUUCUAACGAUUUUAGGUAACUUGUGCCUAUUAGAUGUAUAAGGAAGCGUGUGAUAAGGUAGAAUAUUUCUGAAACAAUAUUGAUACGACUACUACUACUUUAACUAGUUUAAGAUCAAAAUUGUAAAAUUGGUGUACCUAAUAAAGAAUAUCUAGGUAUCUA